UACGAAGGGGGCUAGCGUUGCUCGGAAUCACUGGGCGUAAAGGGUGCGUAGGCGGGUCUUUAAGUCAGGGGUGAAAUCCUGGAGCUCAACUCCAGAACUGCCUUUGAUACUGAGGAUCUUGAGUCCGGGAGAGGUGAGUGGAACUGCGAGUGUAGAGGUGAAAUUCGUAGAUAUUCGCAAGAACACCAGUGGCGAAGGCGGCUCACUGGCCCGAUACUGACGCUGAGGCACGAAAGCGUGGGGAGCAAACAGGG
rnacentral:rRNA from 1 species